rnacentral:rRNA from 1 species
GGGUUGUGAGGUUAAGCGACUAAGCGUACACGGUGGAUGCCCUGGCAGUCAGAGGCGAUGAAGGGCGUGCUAAUCUGCGAUAAGCGCCGGUAAGGUGAUAUGAACCGUUAUAACCGGCGAUACCCGAAUGGGGAAACCCAGUGUGACUCGUCACACUAUCAUUAACUGAAUCCAUAGGUUAAUGAGGCGAACCGGGGGAACUGAAACAUCUAAGUACCCCGAGGAAAAGAAAUCAACCGAGAUUCCCCCAGUAGCGGCGAGCGAACGGGGAGGAGCCCAGAGCCUGAAUCAGCAUGUGUGUUAGUGGAAGCGUCUGGAAAGGCGCGCGAUACAGGGUGACAGCCCCGUACACAAAAGCGCAUGUGCUGUGAGCUCGAUGAGUAGGGCGGGACACGUGGUAUCCUGUCUGAAUAUGGGGGGACCAUCCUCCAAGGCUAAAUACUCCUGACUGACCGAUAGUGAACCAGUACCGUGAGGGAAAGGCGAAAAGAACCCCGGCGAGGGGAGUGAAAAAGAACCUGAAACCGUGUACGUACAAGCAGUGGGAGCCCCACCACUAAGCCAGUGGUGAACUCCACAUACGCAUCCUUUGCUGAGGAUACGGUUAACGGAGCGAAAGCGACGUUCAACCGCAAAAGAAGCAGAGGGGGCUUAGUGGUGGGGUGACUGCGUACCUUUUGUAUAAUGGGUCAGCGACUUAUAUUCUGUAGCAAGGUUAACCGCAUAGGGGAGCCGGAGGGAAACCGAGUCUUAAC